GGUGCGAUGGCUAAGUAGUAAAAGCAAUGGCUUUGGAGUCAGAAGGUGUAGGUUAGAAUCCUGACCCUACCA
rnacentral:tRNA from 1 species